AAGAAAAAGCUUGGUUUUGGUGAUUCAAGCAAGAAACGGAAGUGCAAAGAUAAGGUUAGAGAACUGUGGUGGCGUGUCGAAGUAAAUAACGAGUGACCGGCCAGUGAAAAUAGUUAGAGACACCUCCAAUCAAAUAGCGACUUAAUAUCUCGUUGUUGCUAGGUUUUCUGAGUUAAAGGUGAUUGGGUCCUAAGACGAGGUGCUCCUCCCUAUACAUUGCUCAAUAAGUUUAACGUGCCACUAAGUGUUAUCAAUCGUACCUAGAGUCACUCCGCUGACUGUCGAGGUCUAAUUAUGUGUAUAUGGAUAUUUGAUGUGAAAAUUAAGGUUCAUUUGUUAUUCUACAUAGGUAUAUAAUGGUUGAUGAUGCCAUUAUGAAUGCAUGACUAGGUUUUGUGAAUUGUUUUCAAAGGAAUUGUAAUUGAGUAUUACGAAUUUCAGAUUCUAAAGGAAUAUGGAUUAAUGUA